rnacentral:lncRNA from 1 species
CAGAUACACAGUCGUGGGGAGGAACUUGUAAAUCACAUUCACUGCCGGCCCCAGAGAGAUGGCAGCUGAGCUGGAGGAGCCAGAAAAUCCAUGACGACAGGUGCAACAGCUCCUAACCGGGCCCCGUUGCCACUCUCGCGCCCCCUACAGUCUGUUCUUCGCACAGCGGCAAGACAGAACUUAGAGCUUCUUGGAAGAACUAAGAGGCGGCAGGGGAUUCAAGGCACCACUGAACGUCUUGGAGCAACAGUGGGGAGAAGGGACCCCUCCCAGACUGCGGAGAAACUUCCCUCGGCUGGGGCAGGGGAGCGGGGGUGUGCUGGGGUAGGGGAGGGGAGAGAGGGGGUGUGCUGGGGCAGGGGAGGGGAGAGAGGGGGUGUGCUGGGCAGGGGAGGGGAGAGAGGGGGUGUGCUGGGCAGGGGAGGGGAGAGAGGAGGUGUGCUGGGCAGGGGAGAGGAGGGAGGAGUAUGUUGGAGCCUGAGCUGUAGGCCCUGCGCUCUCUUUCCAGCACCCCUUGGGGAGG